rnacentral:siRNA from 1 species
GGGCUCAUAGCUCAGUGGUAGAGCA